rnacentral:rRNA from 1 species
AGAGUUUGAUCCUGGCUCAGGAUGAACGCUGGCGGUCUGCUUAACACAUGCAAGUCGAACGAAUCCCUUCGGGGAUUAGUGGCGGACGGGUGAGUAACGCGUGAGAAUCUACCAAAAGGACUGGGACAACCACUGGAAACGGUGGCUAAUACCGGAUGAGCCGCAACGUAAAAGAGGAAACUCGCCUUUUGAAGAGCUCGCGUCUGAUUAGCUAGUUGGUGAGGUAAAGGCUCACCAAGGCGGCGAUCAGUAGCUGGUCUGAGAGGAUGAUCAGCCACACUGGGACUGAGACACGGCCCAGACUCCUACGGGAGGCAGCAGUGGGGAAUUUUCCGCAAUGGGCGAAAGCCUGACGGAGCAAGACCGCGUGAGGGAGGAAGGCUCUUGGGUUGUAAACCUCUUUUGUCAGGGAAGAACACAAUGACGGUACCUGAAGAAUCAGCAUCGGCUAACUCCGUGCCAGCAGCCGCGGUAAUACGGAGGAUGCAAGCGUUAUCCGGAAUUAUUGGGCGUAAAGCGUCCGCAGGUGGCACUUCAAGUCUGCUGUCAAAGACCGGGGCUUAACCCUGGAAAGGCAGUGGAAACUGAAGCGCUAGAGUGUGGCAGGGGUAGAGGGAAUUCCCGGUGUAGCGGUGAAAUGCGUAGAGAUCGGGAAGAACAUCGGUGCGAAAGCGCUCUACUGGGCCACAACUGACACUCAGGGACGAAAGCUAGGGGAGCGAAUGGGAUUAGAUACCCUAGUAGUCC